rnacentral:rRNA from 1 species
GACGAACGCUGGCGGCGUGCUUAACACAUGCCAGUCGAACGGUGAAGGGGUCUGCUUUUGUGGGCCCUGGAUGAGUGGCGAACGGGUGAGUAACACGUGAGUAACCUGCCCCCUUCUUCUGGAUAACCGCAUGAAAGUGUGGCUAAUACGGGAUAUUCUGGGUCUGUCGCAUGAUGGGUCUGGGAAAGAUUGCGCCUUUGGGUGUUUUUGGUGGGGGAUGGGCUCGCGGCCUAUCAGCUUGUUGGUGGGGUGAUGGCCUACCAAGGCGGUGACGGGUAGCCGGCCUGGGAGGGUGGACGGUCACACUGGGACUGAGACACGGCCCAGACUCCUACGGGAGGCAGCAGUGGGGAAUAUUGCACAAUGGGCGCAAGCCUGAUGCAGCGACGCCGCGUGAGGGAUGGAGGCCUUCGGGUUGUAAACCUCUUUCGCCAGUGAAGCAGGCCUGCUCCUUGUGGGUGGGUUGACGGUAGCUGGAUAAGAAGCGCCGGCUAACUACGUG